UGUCAUAAAGCGGCGGGAGUGGGCGGUGGGCGUCUGUGGAUGGAGCUUUCACUUGUGCUGGCGAAAGUAGCAAGGAGAGUAACUUUUGCCCCGCAGUUGGGGCGAAUCAAACAGCCAAGCCAUGUAAGCCCUUAAGUUAUAUUCUUGAAGCCCAGUUUGGACAUUUUUUACAAUGGUGACGUGUAUGGCGCAAGACUCUUCCCAGUCUUCUGGCCAAGCCAGCUGCAGAAUGGGGCUUUGGCGGCACCUGUACGUGCUUCCCCUCUGCGUUUUUAUCGGAUUCGUUGUUACGUUCUUCACGACGUACGCCAUAGCCGUGCAGCUGGACCACGUGAAGCCCAACUUCCCGUACAUCAGCGACGGCGGCACCUGCGCCCCCGAGUCCUGCAUCUUCGGCCAGCUGCUCAACAUCACCGCCGUGCUCCUUGGCCUGACCGUGUACAUCCGGUACAGCCUGGUGGAAGACUACUACAGCGUGGGCCACGCGCGCGCCCGCUGGGAGCGCUGGCUCAACAAGGGCGGCUUCUUCUGCGGCAUGUGCGGCGCGCUCGGCAUCAGCAUCGUCGGCAACUUUCAGGAGACCAACGUGCUGGGCAUGCACCUGUUCGGCGCCAUGCUCGCCUUCUUCCUUGGCGUCUUCUACUGCUGGAUUCAGGUGCCGAUCACGUACAAGACGCGGCCGGACAUGACGCGUCCGUGGCUGACCGGCGUCCGCCUGUUCAUCGCCGCCACCUGCACCGGCCUCUUCGUCAGCGGCUGGGCGUGCGCCGCCGCCACGCCCACAGAGUUCAGCAAACGGCUGCAGGACUCGAUCAAGGCCUGCAACGCCUCAGAGAUCCCGGACAGCGAGUGGGGCCUGCCCCUGCACGGCUGGGAGUACCACAUCUGCAGCACCUCCUCCGAGUGGUGUCUGGCGCUGCUAUUCGCCCUCUACCUGCUCACGUUCGUCUACGAGUUUCGGCUGGUGGCCGUGGAGAAGCCCAAGGUGAGCGUCCGCGCGCGGCUCGGCGGCGGCGUUGUCGACACGCGAUGUGUGCGCAGCUGAGGCCACACUUACGGCGCACGCGCCCUCUGUUGGUGGGAGAACGAUAGGUGUACGCUGGAUGUCUCGGUGGUAGUCUUUGUGUUUGACGCAUUCAGGUCAAAAUAUGACACGUAAGUGCAAGGAUGGAGGAAUGCGUGCAACUAUGGAUGGAUGUUGAUCAGGUGAAGCCUGCCAUCUCCAUGCUUCUUGCAUAUAUAUAUAUGCAUAUCAAAUCUGACUGGCUUGUUUUCACGUGAUGUACAAAGGACCCGCCGCAUGAGAUAAGUACGCCUGCAUAGUUAUGUAGAAAGGACUGCGUUGGUGGUGGUUGUAUGACGAAGAAGUUGCACAACCAUAAUUCGGGACCAGCUUCGCGGAGACGUGUUAACUAAAGCUCGAAGCAAAUUGUUUUGCGCUUCAAGCCACCUUCCGCGGAGUGGAUGAACCGUUAGUUGACGUGCCAGCCGCCAGGGCAGGUUCCAAAGCCAGACCAGGUUGAGUGACGGCGCUGCCGUCCCAAUUCUAGGUGCACUGUGGCGUGCCCAAGCCGUGCGACACUGACGAGCCCGUGCGGGCCUAGCGCCCGGGCACCAGCUGCUGCGCGUGGCCAGCGUGCUGCACCGGC
rnacentral:misc_RNA from 1 species